rnacentral:rRNA from 1 species
GACGAACGCUGGCGGCGUGCCUAAUACAUGCAAGUAGAACGCUGAAGCUUGGUGCUUGCACCGAGCGGAUGAGUUGCGAACGGGUGAGUAACGCGUAGGUAACCUGCCUGGUAGCGGGGGAUAACUAUUGGAAACGAUAGCUAAUACCGCAUAAGAGUAGAUGUUGCAUGACAUUUGCUUAAAAGGUGCAAUUGCAUCACUACCAGAUGGACCUGCGUUGUAUUAGCUAGUUGGUGAGGUAACGGCUCACCAAGGCAACGAUACAUAGCCGACCUGAGAGGGUGAUCGGCCACACUGGGACUGAGACACGGCCCAGACUCCUACGGGAGGCAGCAGUAGGGAAUCUUCGGCAAUGGACGGAAGUCUGACCGAGCAACGCCGCGUGAAUGAAGAAGGUUUUCGGAUCGUAAAGCUCUGUUGUAAGAGAAGAACGAGUGUGAGAGUGGAAAGUUCACACUGUGACGGUAUCUGACCAGAAAGGGACGGCUAACUACGUG